UGGGGAAUUUUGGACAAUGGGCGAAAGCCUGAUCCAGCAAUGCCGCGUGUGUGAAGAAGGCCUUCGGGUUGUAAAGCACUUUUGUCCGGAAAGAAAUCCUUGGCUCUAAUACAGUCGGGGGAUGACGGUACCGGAAGAAUAAGCACCGGCUAACUACGUGCCAGCAGCCGCGGUAAUACGUAGGGUGCAAGCGUUAAUCGGAAUUACUGGGCGUAAAGCGUGCGCAGGCGGUUUGCUAAGACCGAUGUGAAAUCCCCGGGCUCAACCUGGGAACUGCAUUGGUGACUGGCAGGCUAGAGUAUGGCAGAGGGGGGUAAAUUCCACGUGUAGCAGUGAAAUGCGUAGAGAUGUGGAGGAAUA
rnacentral:rRNA from 1 species